GCAGGUACCGCGGGUACCACCCCGCAAACACCCCUGCCCUGCCCUCCUCUGUGACAGGAGUGACAGUCUGAGCGAAAGGAAGGCACCUCCGAGGUGAUUACGACAGAGUAAAAACUCCUUCAUCUCUGCUGCUGCAGCGUCACCUCGCUACAAAAAGUCCAGUGCUGUUAAGGAACAAGAAACCCCCCAAGCUUAACCCAGCAAAAAGCAAGGUUACUGAGUGUCUGCUGAAACCUCAAGGAGGAGAGCCUGGCCCCAGCUGGAGAAGCAGCAGGGAGUAG